rnacentral:rRNA from 1 species
UGGGGAAUUUUGGACAAUGGACGCAAGUCUGAUCCAGCCAUGCCGCGUGCGGGAAGAAGGCCUUCGGGUUGUAAACCGCUUUUGUCAGGGAAGAAAUCUUCUGGGUUAAUACCUCGGGAGGAUGACGGUACCUGAAGAAUAAGCACCGGCUAACUACGUGCCAGCAGCCGCGGUAAUACGUAGGGUGCAAGCGUUAAUCGGAAUUACUGGGCGUAAAGCGUGCGCAGGCGGUUAUGCAAGACAGAUGUGAAAUCCCCGGGCUCAACCUGGGAACUGCAUUUGUGACUGCAUAGCUGGAGUGCGGCAGAGGGGGAUAGAAUUCCGCGUGUAGCAGUGAAAUGCGUAGAUAUGCGGAGGAACACCGAUGGCGAAGGCAGCCUCCUGGGCCAGUACUGACGCUCAUGCACGAAAGCGUGGGGAGCAAACA